rnacentral:rRNA from 1 species
UACGGGGGGGGCAAGCGUUGUUCGGAAUUACUGGGCGUAAAGGGCUCGUAGGCGGCCAACUAAGUCAGACGUGAAAUCCCUCGGCUUAACCGGGGAACUGCAUCUGAUACUGGAUGGCUUGAGUUCGGGAGAGGGAUGCGGAAUUCCAGGUGUAGCGGUGAAAUGCGUAGAUAUCUGGAGGAACACCGGUGGCGAAGGCGGCUCACUGGCCCGGUACUGACGCUCAUGUGCGAAAGCGUGGGGAGCAAACAGG